CCUACGGGUGGCAGCAGUAGGGAAUAUUGCUCAAUGGGGGAAACCCUGAAGCAGCAACGCCGCGUGGAGGAUGAAGGUUUUCGGAUUGUAAACCCCUUUUGUUAGAGAAGAUAAUGACGGUACCUAACGAAUAAGCACCGGCUAACUCCGUGCCAGCAGCCGCGAUAAUACGGAGGGUGCAAGCGUUACUCGGAAUCACUGGGCGUAAAGGGCGCGUAGGCGGGAUAGCAAGUCAGAUGUGAAAUCCUAUGGCUUAACCAUAGAACUGCAUUUGAAACUGGUAUUCUAGAGUAUGGGAGAGGUAGGUGGAAUUCUUGGUGUAGCGGUAAAAUGCGUAGAGAUCACGAGGAAUACUCAUUGCGAAGGCGGCUUGCUAGAACGUAACUGACGCUGAUGCGCGAAAGCGUGGGGAGCAAACAGGAUUAGAUACCCUAGUAGUC
rnacentral:rRNA from 1 species